CCAAUUUUCUCGUCUCCAAGUCUGCCGCCCAAGAGAUUUCCUGGCUUCUUGGCGUUUCAGGUCUCAACGGGAGCCUGAGAAAUUCUCUGCAGAGUGGAGAAAUGCUUCUGGUUGGAUUUGAGAACUGACUGACUGAGAUGGGAUCUCCCUAUGUACCCCCUUGGACUGGCUUGGAACUGGCUAUGUACAUCAAGCAGGCUUCAAAAUUGCACCAAUCCUCCUGCCUUUGCUUCCCCAGUGCUGGAAUUAGAGAAUUUCCCUGAAGACAGACAUGUUUUCCACCGAAUACCUGGUACCUGAGGACACCAGAAUAGGGCAAUGGAUCUCCUGGAACUGGAGUUACAGAACUAAACCCUGAUCCUCUGCAAUAAAAGCAAGUGCCCUUAACUUUCUCUCCAGCUUGUUUUGUUUUUAUCUUACGCUCUCAUCACAGUAACUCUAUUACAAGAACUUUCUGGAGACUAUAAAAACUUCAGAAUUAUUUUAGAAAACAUAAUUAAGGCCUGUAAUCCCAGCACUUGGGAGGCCGAGGCAGGAGGAUUGCUAGUUAUAGGCUCAGUAUAGAGUGUAACACUGUCUCAAAAACCAGAUAAAUAGGCUGGAGAAAUAGCCCAGAGGCUGAGUACAUGUAGCUCUUCAGGAGGACCUGUGUUCAGGUUCUUGCCACAGCAGGAAGCUCCAACUCCAGCUCCAGGGGAUCUGACACCCCUUUCUGGCCUUUGCAGGCACCACAUCCAC